CUGAAAAAAAAAAAACACGUGGAUAACCUACCUAUAAGACUGGGAUAACUUCGGGAAACCGGAGCUAAUACCGGAUAAUAUUUUGAACCGCAUGGUUCAAAAGUGAAAGACGGUCUUUCUGUCACUUAUAGAUGGAUCCGCGCUUCAUUAGCUAGUUGGUAAUGUAACGGCUUACCAAGGCAACGAUGCAUAGCCGACCUGAGAGGGUGAUCGGCCACAAUGGAAGUGAGCAAAGGUCCAGACUCCUAAGGGAGGCAGAAGUAGGGAAUCUUCAGCAAUGGGCGAAAGCCUGACGGAGCAAAGCCGCGUGAGUGAUGAAGGUCUUUGUUUUUUUU
rnacentral:rRNA from 1 species